UACGGAGGGGGCUAACGUUGUUCGGAUUUACUGGGCGUAAAGCGUAUGUAGGCGGCUAGGUAAGUCAGGCGUGCAAGCCCGUGGCUCAACCACGGAAUUGCGCUUGAAACUGCUUGGCUUGAGUACAGGAGAGGAAAGCGGAAUCCCCAGUGUAGCGGUGAAAUGCAUUGAUAUUGGGAAGAACAUCUGUGGCGAAGGCGGCUUUCUGGCCUGUUACUGACGCUGAGGUACGAAAGCGUGGGUAGCAAACAGG
rnacentral:rRNA from 1 species